rnacentral:rRNA from 1 species
AUGUCAGUCGACGGUAGAGUAGCAAUACUCGAGAGUGGCGAACGGGUGAGUAAUAUAUCGGAACGUGCCCAGUCGUGGGGGAUAACGUAUAGAAAUUUACGCUAAUACCGCAUACGAUCUACGGAUGAAAGCGGGGGAUUCGCAAGAACCUCGCGCGAUUGGAGCGGCUGAUAUCAGAUUAGGUUGUUGGUGAGGUAAAAGCUCACCAAGCCGACGAUCUGUAGCUGGUUUGAGAGAACGACCAGCCACACUGGGACUGAGACACGGCCCAUACUCCUACGGGAGGCAGCAGUGGGGAAUUUUGGACAAUGGGCGAAAGCCUGAUCCAGCAAUGCCGCGUGUGGGAAGAAGGCCUUCGGGUUGUAAACCACUUUUGUACGGAACGAAACGGUUCGCUUUAAUACAGUGGGCUAAUGACGGUACCGUAAGAAUAAGCACCGGCUAACUACGUGCCAGCAGCCGCGGUAAUACGUAGGGUGCGAGCGUUAAUCGGAAUUACUGGGCGUAAAGCGUGCGCAGGCGGUUAUAUAAGACAGUUGUGAAAUCCCCGGGCUCAACCUGGGAAUUGCAUCUGUGACUGUAUAGCUAGAGUACGGUAGAGGGGGAUGGAAUUCCGCGUGUAGCAGUGAAAUGCGUAGAUAUGCGGAGGAACGCCGAUGGCGAAGGCAAUCCCCUGGACCUGUACUGACGCUCAUGCACGAAAGCGUGG